GGAGGGAUAUCGAAGUGGUCAUAACGAGGCGGUCUUGAAAACCGUUUGGGAGCAAUCCCACAAGGGUUCGAAUCCCUUUCCCUCCGCCA
rnacentral:tRNA from 1 species